rnacentral:tRNA from 1 species
GGGCCGGUAACUCAGUGGUAGAGUGUAGGAUUGCAGCCCCUCAUAGCGGUUAUCCCGAAGUCACCGGUUCGACUCCGGUUCGGCCCU